rnacentral:sRNA from 1 species
UUUGCAACAAUUAAACAAUUUCAGUUUGGCUCGCAAAUAGACAAAGAACCUAUAUAUAUAUCCUAGCAUAAUGGGCUGCAAACGUUGUGAAAAAAAUUGCCAGUGCUCGGGGCAAAAAUGCGGCAACAAUUGUGGCUGCCACAAGGAUUGCAACUGUGUCUGCAAGAAUGGACCCAAGGAGCAGUGUUGCAGCACAAAAUAAUUAAAAUGAAGCAAAUAUUGUUAACUUGAA